AUUGAACGCUGGCGGCAUGCCUUACACAUGCAAGUCGAACGGUAACAGGUUAAGCUGACGAGUGGCGAACGGGUGAGUAAUAUAUCGGAACGUGCCCAGUCGUGGGGGAUAACGUAGCGAAAGCUACGCUAAUACCGCAUACGAUCUACGGAUGAAAGCGGGGGAUCGCAAGACCUCGCGCGAUUGGAGCGGCCGAUAUCAGAUUAGGUUGUUGGUGAGGUAAAAGCUCACCAAGCCUGCGAUCUGUAGCCGGUCUGAGAGGACGACCAGCCACACUGGAACUGAGACACGGUCCAGACUCCUACGGGAGGCAGCAGUGGGGAAUUUUGGACAAUGGACGCAAGUCUGAUCCAGCAAUGCCGCGUGCAGGACGAAGGCCUUCGGGUUGUAAACUGCUUUUGUACGGAACGAAAAGGUUUCUACUAAUACUAGGAGCUCAUGACGGUACUGUAAGAAUAAGCACCGGCUAACUACGUGCCAGCCGCCGCAGUAA
rnacentral:rRNA from 1 species